CUAAUAUUUUGUCUUUUUCUUUUUCUUUACUAAUGUAUUAUUUUAAAUCUGUAUUUAUAUUUUUACUAGAAGCGCAACAACAACCACAAUCAGGAAAAUGACCAUAAACGAAAGUCAAGCUCAAUCUUUUGAUAAAGUUGGUGUUUAUCUUGAAAAGCCUUGCUUUUCACAUAGUCAAUUGAAUGUUGCAUGUUCAAGAACAAGAUUGUUUAAUAGUUUGUUUUUUAAAGUUGAUAAACAUUCAUUACAAGACUGGCUAUUUUGAAUCAGUAAAAUGAUUUUGCAACGAACGAUAAAUUGUGAAGUCUUUAACGUUAAACAAAAUAUACAUUCACAAAAAAAAAAUGUUAUUUAUA